AGUGAACGCUGGCGGUAGGCCUAACACAUGCAAGUCGAACGGCAGCACAGUAAGAGCUUGCUCUUACGGGUGGCGAGUGGCGGACGGGUGAGGAAUACAUCGGAAUCUACUUUUUCGUGGGGGAUAACGUAGGGAAACUUACGCUAAUACCGCAUACGACCUACGGGUGAAAGCAGGGGAUCUUCGGACCUUGCGCGAUUGAAUGAGCCGAUGUCGGAUUAGCUAGUUGGCGGGGUAAAGGCCACCAAGGCGACGAUCCGUAGCUGGUCUGAGAGGAUGAGCAGCCACACUGGAACUGAGACACGGUCCAGACUCCUACGGGAGGCAGCAGUGGGGAAUAUUGGACAAUGGGCGCAAGCCUGAUCCAGCCAUACCGCGUGGGUGAAGAAGGCCUUCGGGUUGUAAAGCCCUUUUGUUGGGAAAGAAAAGCAGCAGGUUAAUACCCCGCUGUUCUGACGGUACCCAAAGAAUAAGCACCGGCUAACUUCGUG
rnacentral:rRNA from 1 species